UUACAGGCAUGAGCCACAGCACCUGCCAUGGGUCAUGGUGAUUUCUAUGGCCCACUCAGAACUUCCUUUGGCCAUGUCAGCCUCUUUUCAGUCAGGUAUAUAUUAAAUAACACUCCCCAUUAUUUUUACUUCAAUUGUUAUCUGUCAGGGCAAAGCUAUUGUUUCUGUUAACCUAAAUUGCCAAUAGACAAAGAUUGUUUUCUCUCAAUUUCAUCUUCAACAAAACUUGACUUUGGAUGUUUCUCCUGUGCUGUCAUAUCCAAGAUGUGGUCAUCCCAGCAAAAGCAAACAUCUUCCAAAGGUCAGGGCAAUGGGUUUGGGUAAAACCCUAUGCUUAUACCAAGGGGCUGGUGCUCAUGUGGAUGCAUGAGUGAUGUGUAUGUGCACGCAUGUGUAUGUGUGUAUGUGAGCUUGACCUUUAAGUUAGAAGGCCAUUUGACCUUUAAAUUAGAAGAUCACAUUCCCCGUGGGGCCCUGCUAAAGGAAGGUCCUCCAGCAGCCUGGGUGCUCUUAGUUAGACUCCAGAGUGGAUGGAUAGUCUCUUGCCAUCAUCCCAGAUCUUCUCUUCAUUCUCUCCCUCUCAUUUUUCAUGAUGUGAAUCCACAUCAUGGUCUGUUUCAAAGUUGAAAGAGACAAGGAUUUUCAAAGGCCAGAUGGCGUUUUCAAUGAAUUUAAUGACCUAAUCCUCACAAAGGUACUUGCAGCUACCUGUCUUGAUAAUCAACUGGCCAGGUGGGUAAAUGGGCAUAAGCUGUCAAUAAAUGUCUAUGUCCUUGGAGUUUUAGUGAUUUAGGGAGAAAAAAUAUCAUACGUUAUUAUUAUUUUCCCCAAGUAGCACACUGGCCCCUGGAGAGGGGAAUGCUGGUAGUUGUGUGAGAAGCAGCAGAAAUGAGGAGGAAGGAAGGGAGGAAUAUUUGAUUAUUUCUUCAUAAACAACCAAUUCCUUCAGCACCUGCUAUGGUUUCUGCUGUUGUGAGAAGAAUAUCAAUGGCUUCAAUAUUCCAUUGUUUGUGGCUGGGAAGCAUUUGCUUGCUGUUCUGGGCUGCCCGGUUUUCAGACUGGCCAGAGGGCAGAAAAUGUGGCAGAUAUAAAAGGAAAACUUUAGCCAAAAUGCCUUAAAUCAGGUUAGCUUUCCCCUUAAAGCCCACUCUGGAAUUCCUGCCUCUCCCCCUGCUCCCCCCUUUGUUUCUUCACAAGCCUCUGGUUGAUUUUCAGCUGCAUUUGUUUGCCCUGAAGAGUGGCAGACUCUUAAGUGUCCAGGUUCUACCGUUCUCCCAUGAAUGUUGUUAGCUUUUUUAAAUUUUUAAACAGCCUACUUUAUUUUGAUGAAAUCUUUAUUUUCUUCAGUAACACUAAUGCCAAGGAAUGAUUGGUGAAUACAAAUGAAAGAAACAGAUCACAAAACAGAGGCAAAAAAGACAGGGAAGGAGAAGUUAUAUGCUGAAUGGAUAAAUUUGAAAUGUCUAGUUACCACAAGGUGGCACUGUUAAAACACCUCAUUUUAAAGUCCUAAAAAAGGUUGCAAAUAGGACAACACAAAAUUAAAGAGCCUUUCACAAAGAAAAUAUUUUGUAUCAAGAGUGGAGUGUGCGAGGCGCUUAUUUGUGUAUGUGAGUGUGUGUGUUGAAAUGUAAUCUUUUAAAGAUGAAGCAAAUAUUAAUAUUAUGGGGAGUGGUGAUAAAAUUUUGUGUGUGUGUGAGAAAGGCAUUUCAGGAUUGAUACUAAUAACUUUAAUACUAAAAUUUUAUAUUGAAUUUUAAAUACAUUUAAUCCCAACCAGUCCUUUUCUGGAAUCUUUCUGAUGCAUGACAUUGUAGCCAUCAGAAUGAUGGGUUAAAUUUACCAUUCCUCAAUCCACUUUCCUUUUACAUGGAGAGCUUGCACACUAGAGGCAUUUAUUUGAAAACAAUUAGUGCCCCAUUAGGGGAAACAUGAAGCCUGCAGGUCUCAGAUAUUCUUGACUGCUUUGGAAACUUGUUGUGCAGAAAGUUGGUAAAUUAAUACUCUAUGGAAAAGAAUUCUUUAAAACAUGUUGUCUAUUAUGUGACUCCCAGAUGCCAAUACCAUUGUUAUUUAAAGUGAACAUUUUCAUGUUUGUGCAUUCUGUGUGUGCCUAGGGUAUCCAUUUACUGACAGAGAGAUGAAAAGCUGAUAUUUCACAAGUUAGUACAUUAAAGAUGGGGUAUUGAUACAAUGGUCUAGAUAAUCUUACUCUUAAAGAAACGCUGGGAGUGGAAAGUGAGCUAAUGCAAAAAAGUAGAAAUGCCACGAACUUUACACUGAUGGUCCCUUGUUUUGCCCUCAGAACAGCAAUCUCAAUCAGAUGAUGUUGCUAUCUCCACUCUUAAGGUGAGGCUCCAAGAAGUUAAAUAACCUGUCGACUGUCACAAAGCCACUAUGUGGCAGAAUCAGGAGUUAAGCUCCAAAAUUACUUUAGAAAAAAAUGCAGAAAAGUGAAAGGGAAAAAGGUCUAGGUUGUUUUGCAAUUUGUAUUUAGAUAAAACCUAGUAAAAUAAUGUAGAUAUUCUUGAAAGAAAGAGGAGACAGGCCUGCUCUGUUCCAGUGCCUUCUCCACAACCAGAUGAAGGGUAUGCAUAUCGCAUUAUUUAUAUAGAUUUUCCUACUUAUCUUACAUAAUUUUUUAUCAGCUUCUAUCUCAGCAUAACCAUAACAUUGUCCACCAUCCACAAAGCCUUGGAAACCUGCUGGAUUUUGCCAUACCUGGGGAAGAGAGUACAGGUUGCUCAUGACACCUGUAGCUGUGAUAGCUCCCAGAUAAUUCAUACUACAGAGGCAUUGGCCCAGCUGGAAAUGAAAUUCAUGACAUAGAAAUCAACUGGUUCCUACUUGGGAAAAGAUUAUGUUAAUGAGAAUGUGUAACUCCAAAGAUAUUGCCUGGUAUAUAUUAGACACUCAACAUGAUGGCAGAAUCUGAGUGGAUAGCAAUAUAAAAAAAACCCCAACUUUGUAUUGUUUUGAAGCAUCUGAAGCACUAUAUAUUUAUUAUCAGACUUUCUAAUUAAAUCAUAUUUAGGGUAAUCUCCUGUGGAAUAUGCCUUUUGCAUUUCUUUUCAUGAGGCCCCACUCCUCCCCAGUAUCAAGAAACAACAGAGGAAAAGGAAAAUUACCAAAUGUAGAGUCAGGCAUCAAACUGGUUUUUAGCCUAAAUUUUGCAGAGAUGCCUCAGUGUCCACCUGGGAAGUUAUGUGGAGGGAAAGAUUGUGUAUGGCGGCAAAGGUGUGCCUAGAGGGAGUACACGGGAAGGUGGGCUUUGCCGCCCCCCCUAACUUGUAUUGGAGCAGGUGGGCAAUUUCUGAGACAGCUGAUAUUUCUGAUAGUAUGCUUAAAUAUAUGGAAUAUUUGAUUAUGAUGUCAAGACCUAUAUACAUCAGGGAUCUAAGAGAUUUAUUGGGCACAAUUCAUCAUGUUAUACUUAAAAUAUUCAGACACUUUGAUGAUAUUUUAAAAAAUGAGAAAAGAUUCCCUGCGUCCUAUGGCUAUUAGAGUUGAAGGUGACAUAAUAUUUGAGGAAAAAAAAGUCAUUACAGAUCUCAGAGAGAUGCAUCACAGAGGAACUGAAUUCCUAAUUUGAUAAAAAAAAUGGGAGGAAUCUGAUCCUCUGAUGAUGAAUCAGCUGGAGGCUGAUUAAUACAGAAGUAAGAGCAACUAGGAAGUGUUUUGACAGAAGCAGAAGACCUGGGGUUUAUGUUGAAGUUUCUGAUUAUGUCCUCUAAUGGUUCAAAUAUUGAUAGGAAUUCCAUUUAUUUAUUUGUUCCUUUGCUCAUUUGUUUGCUUACAUGUAUUCCAAAGAGGUCUGCAUGCCAACGGUAGAGAGGGAAAUCAGAAGACUUGGAUCCACUGCCAGGUGCAGUGAUUCACUUGGAUCAUUCUUUGCUUAUGAGAAAGAUGUGUUGUUUAUAUUCUAGCCUAUUAGUUGUGUUUGUCUUUGGUGUCGAAAAUGUGCCACCUGCCUGUUGAUCCAAUUGCACUGUUGCCAUUUGCCUGUUUUGCUAAUGAUUUGCUGCAGUUGAAACGUGGUAUGACUUGGUCUCGUUCCCAGCUCCUGAAGACCACAGGAAACAGACAGGUACCUGCCUGAUCCUCCAGGGCUGCAGACAUUCCUCGGCAAGCGCUGUGCAGUACGUGCUGUUCCUCCUGGGUCAUGCCCGCCUCCAGCUGUCAGGCCCUCACCCUGGAGGGCUUGGGGGAUACAUGGGAGAAUUUUGUUGAUUUGGGCUCAAGGUCAAGCAAGUUAUUUUAGAAACCUUAGGAGAUUUAGUUUAAGAAAUAUUAAAAGGUCUCAUAAAAGAAGUUUGUAGAGUUGGCUGGUUUGUUAAUGAGACUGAAGAGCCAUACGUUAUCUUGGUAUUUGAUCAGUUAAUAAAUUAUUUCAAUAUGAUGUCUCUUUUUUUCUUAAUUUUUUUUCCCCUAACAGUAAAGGGUUGCCAAGAAUAUUGCAGAGUCUUUGGUAAUCUCCUGUGGAAUAUGCCUUUUGCAUUUCUUUUCAUGAGGCCCCACUCCUCCCCAGUAUCGAGAAACAACAGAGGAAAAGAAAAAUUACCAAAUGUAGAGUCAGGCAUCAAACUGAGACUUUUGGGCUCCGAGUCCAGGACACCAUUUUCACAUUAUAAAUAGACAAGUAGGUAUUUAAUAGCUAAUGAACAAGAACUUGAGAUUGUGGCUCCGUUUUUUUUUUGUUUUUGUUUUUCUGAGAUUCACAUAUACCAAGUAUCAGAGAACAGCCCCCAAAGUGCACAUUUAUUACUAAUUUAUUAGUAAGAAUAAUGCACUAAAUCUCAUUCCAUACUAGAAAUGAAGUGGUCUAAAACAAUAACACAACAAUAAAGUAAUGGUAAAAUGUAAGAUUGAGGAACUAGAAGAUAAAGAUCAGGAUAAAAAGGCUGAUACGAGGUUUACCCAAGAACUUCUAGGAUGUUCUGAGGGUUAAGGCAGCUGUUGCAAUUCAGCCUCAUAUCUGGAAGCAAGCCAAACUGAAUCCAAGUGUAAAAGGGACCACAAGACAAAAACUAAGGAAUACAGAAGCUUUCUCUGACAAAAAUAUCAUUUCUGAGUGCUUAGAGUUUGCAUUUCUCCUUAAAUCACUCAUUUCACUGCACACUCGAUAGUAAAAAAGUUUAACGGGAUUAAUUUGCCUGAAUACUAAAUCAGUAUUUUUAGGGAGCAGGGCCCUAAACAGGUAAGUUUUUUGCUGGCAAAAGAAGGUCAGGUCAGGAGCUCAGCACCCUGAAGCUGACAUCCAGCGGGGCAACUCAAGAGCCUUGGCACCUGGGCAGGGAGACAGAGUGGGGAGCUGAGGGGCUCUGCGACAAAGGUGAGCUACAGCCAUCUUUGUUUUUGUUUUCUAGCGUUGGUUCUAAAGAAAUAGAUCACAAAAUACAAAGGAGGAGAGGAUUUAUAAUUGCUUUGUAGAGAAAUAAUGUUUGCUUAAUUCUGAGAAAAGAUAGAAAAUGAACAAGGGAUGCCUUCUUUCGACAAGAAAAUAUGUAAUACUUUUAUUUGGCAUUUCAGCUGUAACAGGAUCAUUCUAAUAAGGCUAAGUUAAGAUUCAGGGAAGCAAAGAAUUCAGCUUAGCAUGAUUUUAUUUCCCAGUUUCUCACAAACUUUCAUGUGUCAUAUUGUGAUUCAAGGAACAGGUAUCAGCAAAUGACCUUGGGUACCCGCUCUGGGUUGCCUUGACAAUGAUUCAGCUUUCUCUCUCCCAGAGGGAGAUGCUGUGCCGAAGCUCAGCUUCUUUCAACUGGCAUCUAAACCCAGACCACCUGGCAUGCAGGAGUCUGUCUGUACUCUCUGUAACAAGGCCACUUUAUCAUGUGUCCUUAAAAAAAGUACAGAGAUGGGGCUUGGGUUCCUUUACUGGAAUGUAAGCCACACUGUUUAGCAGUGACGUUGGCCCACAAUGGGGGGCCGAGGGAACAAUGGGUGACCCCAGUCUCCUCUAUUCUUGCUGAACCUAGCUGUGCAAGUCUCCUUUUUCUCCAGUAAAGCUCUUUCCUUAACCCAUGCUCUGAGACAUUAUGGAGUUCCUUCUAAGCUCCAUGCUUGACAGGUGCAAUCCAUGAGAGACCCACUUUCAGAACAGUUGCUCUGAAGGCAACAGGAAUGGCAGUCUUUGAGAGCCCAGGUUUAAAUUGUGACCCCGAGGUCCCUAGAAUAACACAGAAAAAUGGCACUUUCUUUAUUAUUAAAAAUCCUCUUGUGUUCAGGGUUAACUCUUAUCCUGAAGCUAAUAGACUCUUCUAGAUGCCACUAUAGCCCCACAGGUUAAAAUGCUCCCUCUACUUAAAUUCUCAUCUCAUUACUGUUAAUUGUGUUUUUCUCUGUAGGUAAGUACUAAGUAGGCCAUAAAAAGAAGUGCUUCUGGUCAAAUUUCAUACUGACUCCCAUGCGAAUGAUACAGAACACUGUGGAAGGCCUCGCCAACGCAAUCACUGUCACUAAUUAUUAUUUAUCCAGCUCUGCCGGCUGCAUACUGAGUGAGCCCCAGCAUUGGUGACAAAUACGGGUUCUAAUGUCAUGAAAACAGUACAGCCUCAUGCGAGUGUAAGUCACCACUUGGUGCCGUGUUCCUCUCCCCAGGUGGACGGAUCCUUCUAAAGUCCUGGAUCGUAUUAACCAGUGCCCCCGUGCCUUUAACUCAUUACCACUUUUUGAAAGGUCACCUCACCAAACAGGGGUCCACAAGGCCGCACGCUAAGCCCGUGAGCAGCUGCGAGCCGUAUCGUCUGCACAGUUGAGCGAGGCAGGAACUUUGAACUGGGACCCGAUUUCACCCCGAAGAUGUGCUCCUCCUCGGAGGGAAGCUGGGCACCCGAGAUGACCCGGCUCCCUUCCGGGAGGAAGGCCACAGCUCACAUUUGACAGCAGGAGGCUGCAGGUCAGUGGGGUGAUGACCCGGCCCUCAGAGACCUGCGCUCGCUCUCUGCAGAACCCCAUAAAUCCUUCAAAAGGAAAUAAGUAAUUCCCUCAGGAUCAAGAGGGCCCUUCACAUUCUUGAAAUAAAUGAAGGCAAAAUGUACAGGGAUUUCUGAGAAAAGUAAAUGUGGUGUGAGCAUGAUUCCUGGGUGUUACUAUGCUGCAGAGAAAGCUUUUUUUUUUUUUCCCCUCCUCUGAAUGGUGUUCUUUGCUCUCAAGUUAACUCAUGCGCUGGAUUCCUUCCAAGUACAUUUUGUUUCUUGAUUUCCAGCCAGGCUUCUCUCAGUUGUGGUGCAUUCUCUUCUUCGCUCCCCUCCUUCCCCUGGCCCUUUCUCUCUUUUUAUAAUCCUUUCAACUUUUCCAUGGGACUGAACUGCUACAGAGGAAAACCCACCGGCCCGGGCAGGGCGUCCACCAGGGCGAGGCGGGGGAUCCUGUGCGAGCAGCCGGCCCCUCGCUCAGCAGCGGCCUGCUCGGCGCACUCUGUCUGCGGCAGCUGAAGCAGAAAGCGUUUGAACUCUGCCCCCUGCCAAACGAUCUCCAGAUGUGCGAACCCCAGCCUCCCGCCGCACUCCCACUGUAGCCCUGCCAGCGUACAUCUGCAGAUUCCUAGCGCACAGGAAACUUGAAAGAGUAUCUUUUACAACAUCUGCUGUCUUUCCCAGCUCUCCCUCUCUGCCUUCUCGGACUUUGCCCUGCAUUUUAUCUGCUCCCUUGAACAAGUCCAUUGAAGCGUAGUGGCACAGCUCUGCUCGGCUCACAGAUGCCAGCUUGGCUGUCUCACCCAGGGCCUGUUCUUGGCUCUCUGGACAGUUGACCAAAGCACCAGUAGAAUCACUAAAGAAGCUUAUUGGACUCCCCGAAAGAGAAGAGAACCCAGUUUUCUCCAUUGGGUUGGUGCCAGUCCACAGGCUGCAAAGGGAGAUUUGGGCCAUAAGGUCAGAGUGGAGCCCUAAAGAUGAAACACAAGUCUCCAGAAGAGUUCUCCUGCUGCACUUCCUUGAGAGAAGCUGAGGGUUGCUUUUAGAGAGAACCUUUUUGCAUAGACAUUCAGUUUCUUGGAAUAAAUAAGGCCGACUUCUGCAAAGUGGGAAGUAUUGGGGUGCAGAUAGGUUCUUGGCCUCCCCCUUCCCCGGGGCAUGGUAGCCAUCAAGCGAAGAGGCCAGAAGAGGACCUUUGUUGUAAUGGCACUCAGAAUGGGGGCAGGAACAAAAGGGCCAGAGACCCUUUUAGCAUAAUGGAGCAGAAGAUUUUUUA